GACGAACCGUGCGAACGUUGUUCGGAAUCACUGGGCUUAAAGGGCGCGUAGGCGGGCGAUCAAGUCAGGGGUGAAAUCCUCCAGCUUAACUGGAGAACUGCCUCUGAUACUGGUCAUCUUGAGUGAGGUAGGGGCGUGCCGGAACUGAUGGUGGAGCGGUGAAAUGUGUUGAUAUCAUCAGGAACUCCGGUGGCGAAAGCGGCGCGCUGGACCUUAACUGACG
rnacentral:rRNA from 1 species